GAUGAACGCUGGCGGCGUGCCUAAUACAUGCAAGUCGAGCGAACAGAUGAGGAGCUUGCUCCUCUGACGUUAGCGGCGGACGGGUGAGUAACACGUGGAUAACCUACCUAUAAGACUGGGAUAACUUCGGGAAACCGGAGCUAAUACCGGAUAAUAUAUUGAACCGCAUGGUUCAAUAGUGAAAGACGGUUUUGCUGUCACUUAUAGAUGGAUCCGCGCCGCAUUAGCUAGUUGGUAAGGUAACGGCUUACCAAGGCAACGAUGCGUAGCCGACCUGAGAGGGUGAUCGGCCACACUGGAACUGAGACACGGUCCAGACUCCUACGGGAGGCAGCAGUAGGGAAUCUUCCGCAAUGGGCGAAAGCCUGACGGAGCAACGCCGCGUGAGUGAUGAAGGUCUUCGGCUCGUAAAACUCUGUUAUUAGGGAAGAACAAAUGUGUAAGUAACUAUGCACGUCUUGACGGUACCUAAUCAGAAAGCCACGGCUAACUACGUG
rnacentral:rRNA from 1 species